UGAGGAAUAUUGGACAAUGGGCGCAAGCCUGAUCCAGCAAUGCCGCGUGUGUGAAGAAGGCCUUCGGGUUGUAAAGCACUUUUAUCAGGAGCGAAACGCUGUCGGCUAAUACCCGGCGGAACUGACGGUACCUGAGGAAUAAGCACCGGCUAACUUCGUGCCAGCAGCCGCGGUAAUACGAAGGGUGCGAGCGUUAAUCGGAAUUACUGGGCGUAAAGCGUGCGUAGGCGGUUUCUUAAGUCUGCUGUGAAAUCCCCGGGCUCAACCUGGGAAUGGCAGUGGAUACUGGGAGGCUAGAGUGUGUCAGAGGGUGGUGGAAUUCCCGGUGUAGCGGUGAAAUGCGUAGAGAUCGGGAGGAACAUCAGUGGCGAAGGCGGCCACCUGGGACAACACUGACGCUGAGGCACGAAAGCGUGGGGAGCAAACAGGAUUAGAUACCCUGGUAGUCCACGCCCUAAACGAUGCGAACUGGAUGUUGGUCUCAACUCGGAGAUCAGUGUCGAAGCUAACGCGUUAAGUUCGCCGCCUGGGGGAGUACGGUCGCAAGACUGGAAACUUAAAUGAAUUGACGGGGUCAUAGCUGUUUCCUG
rnacentral:rRNA from 1 species